CCUAAUUCAAACCACUGGUCCGCAACCAUCACUCCGCAGACCGGCACCGGGCGUCGGCCGGGUUUGGGAGCGGGCGGCACAUCCACCUGCUAGGUGGUCAGCAAAUUUGUUUCACUAGACGUGGUGGAAAUGCGCGUGGCUCGAGCCCACCGGAGUCUCCCUGCUAAGCUUGUUCGUUGAAUUAAACAGAAAUGAAAGAAGCAGCAGUACACAGAGAGGAUUUGUAACAAAGUGACGAAAUGUAUCGUGAAACACGCAGCUACCAGGCGGUCAGGACUUUCCAAGAUGAAGCUAUUUGGACAAGAGAUGCACCUGCAUUGGCGGUAUUUCCGGAGCGAUGUUGAGGAGAAAGCUGUUGUGCGUGCUUUGUCAAGGCAAUACAAGAAACCCGUUGAAUCAUUUGUAGCAAAAAUGCGAGAUGAGUUUGAACACCCGAUCCACGUAAACAUUAGCAGAUAAGUCGCUAAUAACUAGCUGGCAGCCACCAGAUGGAAGCAACAAUCAGCAGUGUCAUUUUUUUGAUCAGUCCCACGACUCGAUAAUAACUUUGUUGUCGGCAGCAGCGCUUUAAAACUGGAAAUUUAAAAACAUUGGCUGUUAUUUCACAUGUAGGAAAAAUUGACUUGAGAAAGAGAGGUCGGCAACAUUUGAUAUCCGGGACAGGGGUCGUUUCAAGCAAUAAAAAGGCUACGCCAUGUGAUUUCCGCGAGCAAAACAGAGAAAUAUGAUCGAAUGCAGAGAGCAUCGCAAAGGCUUCCCCGACAUCAUUCCGACUAAUGCGUUUCUUAAGUGUCAGAUGCAAUUCGACUAUUUGAACCCAGGCACCUUGUCAAGUUUCAGCCGAGAGUCGCGUACGAGCCGUUAAAUUGAGUGCGUGUGAACAUUUAAGAAACGUACACAGUCAAACUGAUAACUUGAUUUGUGAAAAUCAAUAAUGUGUUUAGAAAUGCAGUGAAGUGCGCCUGCACGACGACCCGUCAGCAUUUCCUGUCACUGCCGCCCAAUCUUUAUCUUUGGGAUCGCAACUAGCGAUUUCCUCUAUAUGGCUGAAAGCCUUUGAACUGCUCUCGAUACAACGGAUUCUUUUUUUACCCCCCCCCCCCCAACACACCCCCUUUCUCAAGUCCUUGUUUAUUUAUUUCUUUAUUUCUCGAGCAGGGAGCGGGAUUAAGCCAGAAGCAGCAGCCUCGCUAUCAGCCCAAGAUGUGCUCUUCCAUCCUGCUGCUCCUCUCUGAUAAAGGGGGCUGCUCGGCGAGUGACUCAGGUGCAAGCAGAGCCUCGUAAAAUACAGGUUUUAUUUAUGUUAUUUAUUUAUUUAGGGUCUGUCACACACACAUGCACGACUUACUAUUUGCAAUUAUUGCGUUGUGUGGUUGCAGAAAUUACGAAACGGGGGCUGAAAACCACUCGGUUGUUUUAUGAGCAAUCAGAGCCAUCAGCUAAAAGCCACAAGAAUGAGCUUUUCAAACUGAAUUUAUUCUCCACCAAUUCACCUUCAAAUCAUGUUGAAUCAUUUUUUUUGUGGUGGGGGAGGGGUUCUUGGACUGAGAGAGUUUUUAAUGUGUUUAUUUAUGUGGUACACAGUACUUUCACGACGUUUGGAAUACUCGCAAAAGUAUUCAGCGAGUGUCACUUCUUUCACAUUGAGCGCUGCAACUCACAAUUAUUUUGAUCAUCGAUUAAUCUGUUGCUUAUUUGUCCGUUAAUCAAUUUAUCGGACCGGAAGAACAUGUUUUAAGAUAUCCUUAAUUUGUCCCACAAUGAGGAAAUUUAGGGCGGCCCGGUACUCCAGUGGUUAGCACGUCGGCUUCACAGUGCAGAGGUACCGGGUUCGAUUCCAGCUCCGGCCUCCCUGUGUGGAGUUUGCAUGUUCUCCCCGGGCCUGGGUGGGUUUUCUCCGGGUGCUCCGGUUUCCUCCCGCAUUCCAAAAACAUGCGUGGCAGGCUGAUUGAACACUCUAAAUUGUCCCUAGGUGUGAGUGUGAGUGCGAAUGGUUGUUCGUUUCUGUGUGCCCUGCGAUUGGCUGGCAACCGAUUCAGGGUGUCCCCCGCCUACUGCCCGAAGACGGCUGGGAUAGGCUCCAGCACCCCCCGCGACCCUAGUGAGGAUCAAGCGGCUCGGAAGAUGAAUGAAUGAAUGAAUAUUUUUUU